CGGGGCGGGAGGCGGGGAAAGCCGUCCAUGGCGAUCCUGGCGGCGUUGCUAAUGGCGUCAGUGGCACUGCCGCUCCUCAUGGUGCCCGACAUGCUCUCUAUGCCAGGCUCUGACGGCAUGGAUCGCGGCGCCGCCCUGUCGCUCCCACGCCCGCACUUCAGCAGAUCCGCGUUUGAGUCGUGCAUACCUUUAGCCACCUCCUCUCCAAUGUCCACGACUCUGAUAUACCGUGUUUGUUAGUCUUGACUGGUGUUUGUUCUCUGUAUUGUUGUGCAGGAGGCUGGAGAAGAGCAGGGAGAAAGGGGAGUCGUGUAUGGAGGUUCUGUACUUUUGUUGUAUCAACAUCUUCUCCGUUUGUCCUACAUGGCCGAGCGAGAUCGAAGCUAGCCGCCGGUAAUGUUCUUCUCCCGUGCAAGUUCUGCACUGCACUGAAGCAUCCAACACAUGGAACGGAGGGAGUAGGUGGUACAUCAACCAAGUAUGUUUCAAGGUGAGACAUCCAUCAAGUUUGUUUGGAGGCACAGGUCAAGCAUCAGAACAGUACGUUGUACUAUUUGGUUUCAUCGGUCAAUAUGGAAAUUCAACUAGCAAGGCACCGGAACAUAGAACAACUUCAGAUGUACCUCUACCCCAUCUAGAUGACCUACAUUACCGAGGGAUUCCAGAUAUAUGUAAAGCUAUACAUG